GAAAAGCCCAUGUCAUGAGAAAUCGUUUCCCCAGGAAUCAUCAAAGAAAGCAGGCAUAUAAACAGCAACAUGGUUUACCGAAAGUGACACUGGUCAGAGGAUACAGGGAAAACUUUGAAGGAUGAGAAACUGGAGUCAACUGUAGAUAAACUUCUGGAAUGGUACCAGCAGAUAUAAGCUUUGACAAUAUCAUCUCCAUCACGGUUGAUUGAAUAACUGGAAAUGUGAAAUAAUGCUGUGUGCCCGGCCCAUCUUCUUGUACCUUGCUUUAAAGGAAGCCAGUUCUUGUUGGAAAAUGACAAUAAUGUAAAAUAAGAAUGAGGCUGGUUUGCUAAUGUUUAU